rnacentral:rRNA from 1 species
UACGGGGGGGCAAGCGUUGUUCGGAAUUACUGGGCGUAAAGGGCGCGUAGGCGGUUUGCUAAGUUGGAUGUGAAAACUCUGGGCUUAACCCAGAGCCUGCAUCCAAAACUGGCAAACUUGAGUACUGGAGGGGAAAGCGGAAUUCCUGGUGUAGCGGUGAAAUGCGCAGAUAUCAGGAAGAACACCCGUGGCGAAGGCGGCUCUCUGGGACGGUACUGACGCUGAGACGCGAAAGCGUGGGGAGCGAACAGG